UGGAAUGUAAAGAAGUUUGUGG
rnacentral:miRNA from 1 species